CGCCCGCGCGGCGGCCCUUCCUCCCUUCCGCGCGGCGGCCCUUGUGCGCUCCCCUCCGCCGUUCCCCUCCACCGCUCCCCUCUGCUGCCAACUCCUCCCUCGUCGGAAUCCUAGACCUCACCGUGUCGUCCACCACCGACCCAACCUCACUGCGCCGCCCACCAAUGAGGAAGAGGGCUGCCUCUCCCGCACCACCUCGAUCCAUCGGGUCCGAGGAUGCCCACGCUACAUCGCCACCCAUCGGCAUCGACGAUCCGGCCUCGACCUCGCCGCGCCGCCUCAUCAUUGCCAGCGAGUACCCCUCCGCUGUGUACGUCCACGUCGGGCCGAUGCCGGGCAGGCAGGCCACCAUCGACAACACCGCAAGAGGCCCGACGCCGACGGCCACAUCUUGCAAGCUUGCAAGGGUCGCCCCUCCCGCGCCACUUGGACCCACGAGGUCUUGGACCUUCCGUGUUACUUCACUGCCCAUCGGCACCAGCAACCUGACCUCAACCUCGCCACGCCGUAGUCUCUUCCACGUCAGUCACACCGCCAUCAACGGCACCGCAAGUGGCCCGACAUCGAUAGCCACAUCCUGCAAGAUAAGUGGAGGCGGACCCUGGACCAAUAUGAUAUCUGAUGAAACUAUGUGAAUGCAAUCUCCGUAUCAAGUGGCUUUCAAUGGCCACUUGAUGACCCCGGGACCCAAACCAUUGUUGCAAAAGCAGUUCCGAAAAGAGAAGGCAACUACAAUCAUGAAGAGGACAUCCAGCUGUGCAUGUCAUCGGAAAAUAUCAGUACUGAUCCUAUUAUUGCUAAUGAGCAGCCAGGGUGAGCAUAUUGGAAGAGGAUUGCAGACCAUUACCAUGCCAACAAGACCUUUGAGUCCGAUAGGAACGCCAACUCACUUGAGCACCGUUGGAGUACCAUUCACAAAGAAUGCCAAAAGUUUCAAAGAUACUACGAUGAGAUUGAGCUUCUCCAUCCAAGUGGCAUCCCAUACAAGGAGCAUAUUCUUCAAGCAUAGACAAUAUUUGCAAAGGGGCCACUGAAAAAGUCAUUCUAAUUCCUUCACUGUUGGCUUAAGGUGAGGCAUUGUCAAAAGUUCCAAACAAUAGAGAACAACAAAAGGUCACAAAGUAACAUGUCUUCCAAUGGAGCUACUGAAGGAGAAGGUGGAGAUGAUAGUGGCAGGAGUUAUUCAACAGAACCAAAUCAAAAGAAGAGGCCAAUUGGAAGAAAGCAAGCAAAGGAGAGGUUGAAGAGUGGAGGUGACGCAGGACCAUACAAAGAAGCUAUUGAAGAGUUGAUAUUGGACAAGGAGGAGAAGAAACUUGAGGGAAAUCAGGUGAGAGGAGAAAAAACUGAAGGAGGACAGGUGGAAGGAGGCAAAGAUGAUUCACCAGGAAAAGAUAUCAUUGGAAAAGGAAAAAUUGAUGUGGGAACAAGAACAGAAAAUCAUGUUCUGUGAUGUGAGUACCUUGGAGAUAUGUGUUGGCAAUGAGGGCACAAAUCGCAGCACAAAAGAUGGCUGCCUUCAGUGCUAGGUUUGGUGGUGGGUUUGCUGCUUCUAGUGGUGGUAGUGGAGGUGAUGUUGAGGGAGCAGCAAUUUAAUUUAUGUUGGGUUAGUUUUUCGCUCAUUUGUUUGCUCCUGCCAGUAGUUUGGAAAAGGGAACCAACAGCUUCAAGUGGCAUCUGGAUUACAUAAUCCAAUUAUUCUGUGAUUACUAUUUACUAAGUCUGAAAUUACAUUGUUCAAGUAGUCUUUUAUAAGUUCUAUGAUCCUAUACAAGGAGUAAAUGAA